UCUAAAAACCACUAUGUGUGAAGGUACCUACAUCUUUGAAUACUGAUGCACACGUUAAAGGGUUAAGAUUCCCUUUACAUUCCUAACCAAGUUCAGGCACGGCAGUGCCCCCGCCAAGACGAGGGUGAAGCACACUGCCGUAUCAUACUUUACUGGAACAUUUCGCCACAUUUUCAGCUGUCUAUUUGAGAAUUCCUGGAUAAGAAAUGUUCGUGAUACAGUAAGCUAUACUCACAUACUUAAAUUCCAAAAUUUCUAGUUUGUAGGUUCAGUACCUAGGUCAUUUCGUUCCGAAGUUAAGCGAAAGCAUUUUCGCAUUUAUGACACUCGCUAACACGUACCGGCAAAUAGAACUAGUAUUCCCCUUAAACUCAGAAAGCUGAAAGGAGAAUGGCAGAAUUCGUACAGCAUACUUUUUGUGGUGUUCCCUGAUAAAAUUUGUAUCACUUAUUGAGGCAACUAAACCAUUCAUUUUUCUGUAAAAAUAAUAUUUUUAGAAGCUGGGGUUUAGCAAAUAUAUCAAUUAAAAGAUUUUAGUAACGAAACGUAAUAUAAUGAAACAAAACGUAGAAGACAUGUUUAAUUAGUUGCCAUUAAUAAAAUAUCAGAAAGCUCGAAAUGAUAAAUAAAUAUUUUGAAAUAGAAAUAACAGUAAAUAUAAUUAACCAAUUACAGGUUAUACCUUAGAAUAUAUAAUUAAUGCAUAUAUAUGCAUAGAAUCUUUAUAUUUAUAGGAAUUAUUUUUGCCAUCAAUAUUUUUUUUUGUAAUGGCAAUUAUUUAUUGACAGGUUUGUAAUAUCCCUAAUCUUUCAAAGUCAGUUCAGUUUUUUGCCGUUGUUUUGUUUUGGAUUAUAGUUUGUAACUUCAUCUAAACAAUUUAGCAAUUAUCUGACCAUUUUUACGUUGAGUUGAGCAACUGCUUCUCCGUUCUCUAUCUGUUGAUACUACUUUCGCGAAAGGACGCUUUAUUAAUUGUGUUGUGUGUUACGUGUUUUAUUGAAAAUGACGAGUUUGCAAUGCAUCAAUUGCAAUGUUCGCUUGCCUCGAAGAAGAAAACACGCUUUAUCCAAUGACGGUGAAGAUAUCGUCGACACUAUUCGUCUGUGGACAUAUCUUAGAGAUAUUACACCAGAUGACCAUGUUUACCAUGAAUGCUGGCAGCUAGCUAGUCAUUCAUGUUCUUCUGAUAAUAUGCCGAGAAGACACAUAGGCCAUCAGUGUUUGUGUUGUAUGUGGACAACCCAUACUAAGAAUCAGGCAAUGCAGAAUUUUGAUUGAAGAAGAACAAAGAACGGCAUACACAAUUGCUACUUGGAUCUAACCACGACAGCUUCAUCCUGAAGAUAAAGCUUGUGUGCGGUGUUGGUUAAGAGUGAGAAUUAAGGAUACUUCACUAAAUGAAGAUAUUCAAUCCGUUGAACCUAAUCAGCAGAAAAGUGAUAACUCUGAACUGAUGUGUGCUGCAUGUGGUCAAAGUCUUACUCCCAACAACACUGCUUGUUUGUUGGAGCACCAGCAGACCAAGACUGGGGCCAAGUAUGCAAUUUGAACUUCUAUGUUCCAGAUGGUCUAUGUUGCUUCAAGCUAAAAUAAAGUCCUGCCACUCUUCUCCUAGAACUUAUUUUGUUUUCAUAGUUGCAGAAACAAAUAUGAAUAGCCGGGACACCAUCAAAAGUGAUUGCUGUAAUUGUAUUGUAGGUUUAAGAACAGUGGGAUGCUGCUCACAUGUUAUGAGCAUUCUUUGGUAUUUGAGUUAUGCUUGCCAUGAGGGUAUGACCCGACCUGCCCCUUUCUUGGAUGAAGUAAUAUUAAGAACCAAUCAAGUAAUUAUAAGAAAAUAAAGUAAAUGAAAUUCCUACAAAAACUAAGUUGUUUUAUUUACCUACACUGAAAACUUCAUCAGCUCUUAAUCAUUAUCAAACUAUUGUAGACCGCUGCUGGACAUAGGUCACUCCUUAAGCACGCUACUGAAUGGGUAAAUUCUCAUGUCAAUUUAUCAACUUCCUAUAUUAUUUUUCAUUUAAACAAUGUUUAUGUGCUUAGUGCUUACACAUGAUAAAGAACAAAGGGUAAUGUUGGGACCACCUCUCAAUAGAAAUGAGACCCUUCUAUAGAUAAAUAUUCUCAAACUGAAUAAACUUACUAAAGUACUACAAUUAAGCUUAAGCAAUUAACCUUUUUUAUGCAAUAAGUUGGUAAACGAGCAGACAGAUCAUCUGAUGGUAAGCAAUCGCCGCCGCCCAUGUACACCUGAGGCGUUAGAAGUACGUUGCCGGCCUUUUAGGGGUUCGGAAUUUAAGGGUUGUUAGGGAAGGGGUAAUUGCGCCUCCGGUAACCUCACUCACUCAACGAAAUACAACGCCAACGCGAAACAAACUCUUGACAAUGAUGAUAGUAGCUUACUUUAUUACAAGAUAAAUGUUCCAUAAGUCAUUUCUUAUCUUCCUACUCUUUCUCCUUCCGAAACACGAAGGAGACUUUCUAUGAUGGUCACCCAUCCACACACCAAAGUCGGCAAGGGUUGCUUAACCUUGGCGACUGACCUGUGCUUUUGAUAUUAUUAACAACAAGCUUCUCUACUAGCCCAUACCUAUUAUAUGUAUAUUCUACCUUAUAAAUAAUAUGAAAAUCUUGUAAAAUAUCCAUAUUUACAGAAUAUUCCCAUUGACCAUAGACAAACCUAACCUCAAACAUAAAACUGGCUAUAUCUCUUAUCUCCCAACUUCUAAAAAUCUGAGAAUUUUUAUAGGGCUUUCCAAUCAUGUUUACUACCAAUUAAACCCAAAAAUAUUCGGGAACACGAAAAUUUUUUGCUGUACGAAACUCCCAUACAAACCUGCCAUUCUCCUUUGGUAGGUACAGAGUUAAGGU